UAAUACGUAGGAGGCAAGCGUUGUCCGGAAUUACUGGGUGUAAAGCGCGUGUAGGUGGGAGGCCAAGUCUGUGGUGAAAGCGCCCGGCUCAACUGGGCAGAGUCCAUGGAAACUGGUCACCUGGAGGACGGUAGAGGCGAGUGGAAUUCCCGGUGUAGUGGUGAAAUGCGUAGAGAUCGGGAGGAACACCAGUGGCGAAGGCGGCUCGCUGGGCCGGUCCUGACACUGAGACGCGAAGGCGUGGGGAGCGAACGGGAUUAGAUACCCCGGUAGUCCACGCAGUAAACGAUGCACACUAGGUGUGGGGGGUAUCGAGCCCCUCCGUGCCGUAGCUAACGCAGUAAGUGUGCCACCUGGGGAGUACGGCCGCAAGGUUA
rnacentral:rRNA from 1 species